GUCUAUUAUAGCUCAGUUGGUUACAGCGUGGUGCUGAUAACGCCAAGGUUGCAGGUUCGAUCUCCGGAUGGGACA